rnacentral:rRNA from 1 species
GACGAACGCUGGCGGCGUGCCUAAUACAUGCAAGUCGAACGCUUCUUUCCUCCCGAGUGCUUGCACUCAAUUGGAAAGAGGAGUGGCGGACGGGUGAGUAACACGUGGGUAACCUACCCAUCAGAGGGGGAUAACACUUGGAAACAGGUGCUAAUACCGCAUAACAGUUUAUGCCGCAUGGCAUAAGAGUGAAAGGCGCUUUCGGGUGUCGCUGAUGGAUGGACCCGCGGUGCAUUAGCUAGUUGGUGAGGUAACGGCUCACCAAGGCCACGAUGCAUAGCCGACCUGAGAGGGGGAUCGGCCACACUGGGACUGAGACACGGCCCAGACUCCUACGGGAGGCAGCAGUAGGGAAUCUUCGGCAAUGGACGAAAGUCUGACCGAGCAACGCCGCGGGAGUGAAGAAGGUUUUCGGAUCGUAAAACUCUGUUGUUAGAGAAGAACAAGGACGUUAGUAACUGAACGUCCCCUGACGGUAUCUAACCAGAAAGCCACGGCGAACUACGU